AUAAAGCUGACUUCUCAUAUCUUUCAUCAUAGAAAUAACCAUAUUGUUUUAUUUCUCUUCCUCGGGCUCUGGAAUAUUUUAUCAUAUCCUCUGCAGGUGAGACCCGCUUUGCUAACUGAGUCAUAGUAAAUUCCCACCCUACCAAUAAUUAAUUAUGGAAGUGUUGGAUUUGUAAGAUGAUCAAAAUUUAUAUUGGUAUGCAGCAUGUACGGGCAGGAGUUUUUAUACCACAAGUGUAUAUGCCUCUCAGAAGGUUCUGUUAGAGGUUCAUCUCAACAAUAUUCGUAGGCAUUUCGACAUAUGAAGUGAAAAAUCCCAAAGUUCAUGUCAACAAUUGAUUUGCAAAGGUAUUUGGUUUGUGUCAGCUUGGUUCAUGAAUAUUGCAACCAUUACACAAAGUACAUGGUGUCAUCGAACAAGAAAGAAAGCUUCUUAUGACCUCCAAAGUUUAAUAUAAAAAAAAGCGGCAGAGAGGUAACUUACUGCAGCUAUACCAUCUUGCUGUCAAAAUACUUGGCAUUAAACUGAGAACCCUCUAGCACCAUUCCACCACCCAGGAUAGCCAAAAGCUGGUAGAUACGAAAAAAACUUGGAAAUUAUGUAUCACAGUUGGUAGCUUUUAGUUAAGUAAAUACAAGUGAGCAUUCAAAAGCAUCAGUACCAAAGCUAGAUUUUGAUAGAUUCAUAGAAAGAUAAUGGAAGCAACUUAAGGCACCAUGAGCUAGGCAGAACACUGAUAACGAUUGCAAACUUGUUGUACAUGUCUAGUUAUGUCGUUACCUCACUGUAAAAGAUAUUCUCACCGUCAGAACCCAACAAUGCUUGAGACUUGAAGAACAUUUCUUCCUUUGUCCGUUUAUACUGAAGACCUGAUAGUUAAACUAUGUUAGUUAUGUGAUUCAGGAAGAAAAGGAUAAAAAUGGUUCAGAGAAAAAAAGGUAAAUAAAAAGAAGAAAUUUGAUCAACUUGAUUACCAAAGUUGUAUUGACUUAUAUACAUUACUAAAAUAACGAUUUGAACGACUUGUUCGACUAAUAUUUCUAGGGCUAGCAUUUGAUUUCGAACACAUAUAAUCUCUAGUAUAUUUUUCACUUCUUCCACAAUCCGUGCUUGUUGCUUGGGUAGGUGACCACCGAAUAAUAUGACAAGCCAACAAUACUGAAACUUUGUAUACACAAAACCUUAAUUUCCAACCAUGUGGAGGGAACAACUCUAUUCAACCCUGAACUCUUGUGUGUAGAGUUGCUUAUGGAUUCGGUAGUUCAUGCAGUAGCAUGGCACAGAGAAAUUUAGUUGUUUCCAAUAGACAUGUCCUCUCUUGUGCAGCGCCAUACAUCACCUACAAUCUGAAUUCCACGGGGCACCAAUCCGAGAGACCCGACCUACUUGUGCAGUUGCUGGAGAACCAUGGCGAAGAAGAAGUUGCCCACCAAGAUUCCC
rnacentral:lncRNA from 1 species